AUGGGGAUAAGUUGAAUCAUAUGAAAUUGUCUAGGUGAAGAAACUGAGUUCAAGAGAUGAAAUGAAUGGCCCAGGAUCACACAGAUGAAAGAAUGCAGCAGAAAUGGCUGUUGCCAAGACUUUACAGCUUCUGCUCUCACUCUCUUGGAACAUUUCCACCAUCUUCUGAAGAAGUCCAGCUGGAAAGAGAAGGCCAGAAAUCCCAGCUGAGGCUCCGUACAUGUGACUGAGGCCAUCAUAGGCCAACUAGCCAAGCUGCCAGCUGACCACAGCUACUGAGUCCAGGCUCAGCGGAACCUGCGAGGCGAGGCUAGGCGAAGCCACUGGGUACCAUCUGGGGCCUUCGCUGCCACGAUGCGCCCCUGCACGCAAGCUAACCUUCCCUCGGGCACAGAAAGCGACCCCUGUGGGAGACCGAAGCUAGCAAGGAGUGGAGCUCAGCGAGCUGCCUCUGGCUUUUCCAGCGCAUUGCCCAUGCCCAACCCCCAGCCGCUGGGACCUUAAGCCGGAUGACCGAGCUUAAUACCAGAUACCAAUUGCUUGCUUUUACCAUCAGCCGUGAAAUUGAAGGGUUACAUUUCUUAGUUUGGGGAAUGUGAGGGUGCUUAAGAAGGACAGAAAGCACUCACGAGGUGGAGGACAAAUGAGCCAGAUCCUAAAGCAGUAAUACCAGACAAUCUUUGGGCACUUGCUCUGUGCCAGGUACUGAGUUCAGUGUUUUAUUUUAUUUAUUUAUUUAUUUAUUUUUAAAGAUUUUGUUUAUUUAUUUGACAGAGAGAGACAUAGCGAGAGAGGGAACACAAG